UUUCAAAAUAUUACCUCGUUGAAAUUUGCACUUUUUUUUAUAAUGACCCAAAUAUGAGUUAAAAACUAUUUUUGGAUUUAGUUAAUGGGAUAUGGAAAAUAUUAUUUUCGAAAACAAAAACUGAGUCAAAAACUAUGAUUUUAAUGAAAAAGGAAAUUGUCAUUCAAGUAGUUUUUCAAACACAAUUGCAGGAUGACGAAUUGCUGGAUAGAUUUUUUUUAUAGAGAAUUGCAGGAUGAGAAUUGCUGGAUAGAUUUUUUUAUAGAGAAUUGCAGGAUGAGAAUUGCUGGAUAGAUUUUUUUUAUAGAGAAUUGCAGGAUGAGAAUUGCUGGAUAGAUUUUUUUAUAGAGAAUUGCAGGAAGAGAAUUGCUGGAUAGAUUUUUUUUAUAGAGAAUUGCAGGAUGAGAAUUGCAGGAUAGCCGUUGACACUAGUGAAAUAUUUUUGUCUUUUGAACUCAUCAUUCGAAUCUUUUUAUUAUUUAUUUAAAAGAGAGAAAAACAAAUUGUGUACAGUCUUUUUUCCUUUUUUGUCGCUCAUAAUCGACUGUCUACAAAUAUAGUUCCUGUCAUUUGUAACGAAUGUAAACUUUAAUAUCAGUGUUUUUUUCUUUCAUAUAAAUAUUUAUGGUUAGAAUUAUUAGUUGUUCUUUUAUAGUGGACGUAAAGAUAUUUUUCAUUAUGCUUUAGAACAUUAGGGCAUUUUGGGACUAUGUGUCAAAGGUGUAUGAAGGGAUACAAAAAUGUGCAAAAGCUGUGACUGGUUGCAUGUUCUUGUGACAUAAUUUCAUGUCGGCUGAGCAGUUCCUAAUAAGUAAAUUUUGUAGACUGUUUACCUCAAAUUUGGUAAUGGAAAAAAAAUGUCUUCAUUGGGAACUGACUGUAGCUGAAACCCACACUCUUCAGGUUGGCAGGGCAAUACUCUGUAUUUCAAUUUUGUCGUUUUUUGCACAUGGGAUCAUUAAAGUCACUGUCAGCGGUUCUUUUUGAAAUAGAUGUUUUUCAUUAAAAGAAGCUGACUAAAAGUUUUUAUUAAUUUAUGGAACUUGAAUAACUUGUUUUUGAAAAUGUUUGAUUUAUUUUAAGACUGAAACAAAUGAUUCCCAUAUAUGUAAUAUGAUGGACCCAUCAACCUUUAAAGACAGGCCCCUUCUAUCUUUGUCGCCUUAUCCUUGGAAACCUUAAGUAUCUCCUCAUUAAUUAAUGCUUUCCCCUAAAUUGGUUACAAAAUUUUUAAAUAGUUCUGCUUUAAAAUUCAUCUAUUCAUCAGCAUAUCAAAAAACCCAAGACUUCAUUUUUUUAUGAAAUGCUUCUUAGUUAAACCAUUUGUUCAAUUUAUUUCCAUGACCCAAUAC
rnacentral:lncRNA from 1 species